rnacentral:rRNA from 1 species
ACGUAGGGGGCGAGCGUUGUCCGGAAUUACUGGGCGUAAAGGGUGCGUAGGCGGUUGCUUAAGUUGGAUGUGAAAUACCCGGGCUUAACUUGGGGGGUGCAUUCAAAACUGGGCAACUAGAGUUCAGGAGAGGGAAGCGGAAUUCCUAGUGUAGCGGUGAAAUGCGUAGAUAUUAGGAGGAACACCAGUGGCGAAGGCGGCUUUCUGGACUGACACUGACGCUGAGGCACGAAAGCGUGGGGAGCAAACAG